GACGAACGCUGGCGGCGUGCCCAAUACAUGCAAGUAGAACGCUGAAGGAGGAGCUUGCUCUUCUGGAUGAGUUGCGAACGGGUGAGUAACGCGUAGGUAACCUGCCUGGUAGCGGGGGAUAACUAUUGGAAACGAUAGCUAAUACCGCAUAAGAGUAGAUGUUGCAUGACAUUUACUUAAAAUGUGCAAUUGCAUCACUACCAGAUGGACCUGCGUUGUAUUAGCUAGUUGGUGGGGUAACGGCUUACCAAGGCGACGGUACAUAGCCGACCUGAAAGGGGGAUCUGCCACACUGGGACUGGGACACGGCCCAGACUCCUACGGGAGGCAGCAGUAGGGAAUCUUCGGCAAUGGACGGAAGUCUGACCGAGCAACGCCGCGUGAGUGAAGAAGGUUUUCGGAUCGUAAAGCUCUGUUGUAAGAGAAGAACGAGUGUGAGAGUGGAAAGUUCACACUGUGACGGUAUCUUACCAGAAAGGGACGGCUAACUACGUG
rnacentral:rRNA from 1 species